CCUACGGGAGGCUGCAGUAGGGAAUAUUGGGCAAUGGGCGGAAGCCUGACCCAGCCAUGCCGCGUGCAGGAAGAAGGCGUUAUGCGUUGUAAACUGCUUUUUUAUAGGAAGAAGGAUCCCUUGCGAGGGAAGGUGACGGUACUAUAAGAAUAAGCACCGGCUAACUCCGUGCCAGCAGCCGCGGUAAUACGGAGGGUGCAAGCGUUGUCCGGAUUUAUUGGGUUUAAAGGGUGCGUAGGCGGUUUAUUAAGUCAGUGGUGAAAGACGGUCGCUCAACGAUUGCAGUGCCAUUGAUACUGGUAGACUUGAGUGAGAUUGAGGUAGCUGGAAUGGAUAGUGUAGCGGUGAAAUGCAUAGAUAUUAUCCAGAACACCGAUUGCGAAGGCAGGUUACUAAGUCUUAACUGACGCUGAGGCACGAAAGUGUGGGGAUCAAACAGGAUUAGAUACCCGUGUAGUC
rnacentral:rRNA from 1 species